rnacentral:lncRNA from 1 species
CACGACCACACUACAAACUGGUGCCACAACGACUGGUCAGCUCAAGCCGACCACCGGAACUGUGCAUGGGGAUGAGGUGCGAGAUCUGCGCAUGCGCACUUGUUGAUAGUUUGCUAUGCGAAUGAGAUUGUAGGCACUCUGCAGGGCCAGUUUGGUAAAGAACCGGGCCCGGUGGAGCUGCUCGAUGGCUGAUGGCACCAGCAGGAGAGGAAGAAACCAGCCAACACGGGAUGUGGACCUGCGGAUGAAACCCUGUUGGAGGGCAUCUUGAAUGUAGUCCAUCUACCCUCUGUCGGUUGGCCACUAGCUGCAUCUGCGCGGAGGUGUAGCACCGGAAAACAGGUCAAUGGCACAGUCCCAGGGGCGAUGAAGAGGGAGACAGGUAAGACGGGUCUUGGAGAAUACCUCCCUUAGAUCCUGAUAUUCCUCCGGGAUAUUGGGCUGGAGGGAAACCAUGGGACUCUCAACCGACGUGGAACCACAGGGGACAGGGAAGCAUGUCCUCCGGCAUUCAUGUGACUAGCCAGGGAUUCUCAUCCUCUACCAUGAGAUGGUAUGGUUAUGGCGCUGAAGCCAAGGUAGGCCGAGGAUGAUUUUGUGAGCUGGUGUAGUGGUGAUGAAGAAAGGGAUGUUUUCCUGGUGAUUAGGCUCCACAGUGAGGGUGAGUGGUUGGGUGAUGUGUGUGAUGGUUCCGGAUCCUAGAGGCCGACAGCCAAGAACUUGCACCGGAAAAGGAGAGUGGGUAGGUAGUAAUAUUGAGAGAGGAGGCAAGGAUCUGAUACUCGGCCUUG